rnacentral:sRNA from 1 species
AGUCUCCACCCGGACUACGCCAUGUUGGGGCUUGUGGGUCGGGUGGCCGCUGCUUCGGCCUCCGGGGCCUUGAGAGGACUCACCCCUUCAGCGUCGCUGCCCCCAGGUCAGCUCUUACUGCGGGCCGCUCCGACGGUGGUCCAUCCUGUCAGGGACUAUGCGGUGCAAACAUCUCCUUCGCCAAAAGCAGGCGCCGCCACCGGGCGCAUCGUGGCUGUCAUUGGCGCAGUGGUGGACGUCCAGUUUGAUGAGGGGCUACCACCAAUUCUAAAUGCCCUGGAAGUGCUACUACGUUUGCCCAUUUGGAUGCUACCACUGUACUGUCGCGUGCCAUUGCUGAGCUGGGCAUCUAUCCAGCUGUGGAUCCUCUAGACUCCACCUCUCGUAUCAUGGAUCCCAACAUUGUUGGCAGUGAGCAUUACGAUGUUGCCCGUGGGGUGCAAAAGAUCCUGCAGGACUACAAAUCCCUCCAAGAUAUCAUUGCCAUCCUGGGUAUGGAUGAACUUUCUGAGGAAGACAAGUUGACCGUGUCCCGUGCACGGAAAAUACAGCGUUUCUUGUCUCAGCCAUUCCAGGUUGCUGAGGUCUUCACAGGUCAUAUGGGGAAGCUGGUACCCCUGAAGGAGACCAUCAAAGGAUUCCAGCAGAUUUUGGCAGGUGAAUAUGACCAUCUCCCAGAACAGGCCUUCUAUAUGGUGGGACCCA